AUGGCCCUGGACGCACUGAUUCGGAUCUUUACCAUCAUGUCAGUUCCUCCCAGAGACGUGUGGGUUCAGGUGGUGAGCGCGGCGGUGCGUCUCGGAGGAAACGCUCUGCUCCUCUGCUCCUGUAAGGCAGACCCGCCGGUCUCGGAGUACCAGUGGUGGAGCGUCGAGUCCGGAAACACGCGGAUCCUGUCCAAACGCACGCACACCGUCCGCGUCUAUAACGUCAGCCGAGACACGCGCGUCCAGUGCAGCGCUGCAAACCGCCUGGGACGCGCCUCGUCCCGCCCGACGCCCCUCAACGCGCAGUACGCGCCGCUGAUUCUGUCUCGCUCGUCCUGUGACUGGGACGGGACGCUGCUGUCCUGCUCUUGUUUCGUGGACUCGAACCCUCGUCCCGCCGUCACCUGGAGUGUGAACGGGUCUCACCUGCCGGAUGGCUUUAACACCUCGUCUUCUUCUUAUGUUAACCACACGCUGACGGCGACGCUCCACGGAAUCUCAGACGUGCCGCUGCGGGUCGAGUGUCAUGCUGUCAGCGCUCUGGGAAACCACUCGCACCUGCUCUAUGAGCCUCACGAGGGUACGAUACACUAACAGCUACUCACCAGUCUGCUGGUUUUUUUUAUCAUUUAUGAUAUUUAUAACAUUCGUUUAUAAUAUUUACAUAAAUGUUUAAAUAUUUAAAGAAAAGGU
ensembl:lncRNA